rnacentral:rRNA from 1 species
GGGUGCGAGCGAUAAUCGGAAUUACUGGGCGUAAAGCGUGCGCAGGCGGUUUUGUAAGACAGAUGUGAAAUCCCCGGGCUUAACCUGGGAACUGCGUUUGUGACUGCAAGGCUGGAGUACGGCAGAGGGGGGUGGAAUUCCACGUGUAGCAGUGAAAUGCGUAGAGAUGUGGAGGAACACCGAUGGCGAAGGCAGCCCCCUGGGCCUGUACUGACGCUCAUGCACGAAAGCGUGGGGAGCAAACA